UAGGAAAUCUUCCACAAUGGACGCAAGUCUGAUGGAGCAACGCCGCGUGAGUGAAGAAGGUCUUCGGAUCGUAAAACUCUGUUGUUAGAGAAGAACACGAGUGAGAGUAACUGUUCAUUCGAUGACGGUAUCUAACCAGCAAGUCACGGCUAACUACGUGCCAA
rnacentral:rRNA from 1 species